ACAGGGAGUAGUGGCGUGCUCUAGUACUCCAACUACUUGGAGGUCCGGUCUCGAGGAUGGUUUGAGUCCGGGAACCACUGUGAUUGGGUGUUUCUACGUUGACCAGGCGUCCGGACUAGGCUAAUCAUCAACACGGUUGUUUCCGGGGAGCCGGAGAUGUCCAGGUUGCUAAGGAGGGGCGAACCGGGCCAAGGGGGAACUCAGCAUAGACCAUGAAUGGAGCGGGAUAGAUGGAAAUGUGUCGUAUGCGGUUCUGGGGAUGUAGAAGACAUGUUUCAUUUUUUGGGUAUUUUAUGUACUCUGACUU
rnacentral:SRP_RNA from 13 species